GACGCCAUAUUAUGAUGAAAUUGAAAUUGUCAAUUUGAAUCUUUUUGUUACAAUUAUUAACAAAUCACAUUUUGUGUAUAAAAUAGUUGUCAAAAGCUUCCAGAAGAGAAUUCCUUUCAUAGUGUUAACUAAAGGCCAUCGACAACGGAUUCGUGAUUUUUCACUUUCAGAAUUUUCAGCUUUCAGCGUUCAGGCCAGACGUUUGUGACAGCAUUUUGUUAAAAUUAUUUACAAAAUACGUGUGAAUUUGCUGCACCAGCCUCAGGAUGAAGCCGUAUAUUAUUUUGUUCUGUUUGUUUGUGUACGCCCAGGCUAAACGUUUGGGAAAUGAAAAUCGCCGCCAUGUUCGUGAUAAUAAACAACAGAAAAUCCCACCACAGAUAGCAGAUGAUGGUAAGGAUGAGGAAACCCUAACAGAGACAGCAGGUA